rnacentral:rRNA from 1 species
CGAACCUACCGUAUCGAGGAGGGGAAUAACCCGGCGAAAGUCGGACUAAUACCGCAGUAAAACAGGGGCACGCAUGGUGAUAUUUGUUAAAGAAAUUCGCUGAUAGAUGGGCAUGCGUUCCAUUUAGGUAGUUGGUGAGGUAACGGCUCACCAAGCCGACGAUGGAUAGGGGAACUGAGAGGUUGGUCCCCCACACUGGUACUGAGACACGGACCAGACUCCUACGGGAGGCAGCAGUGAGGAAUAUUGGUCAAUGGGGCGGGAGCCUGAACCAGCCAAGUCGCGUGAAAAGGAAGAAGGAUCUAUGGUUCGUAAACUUCUUUUGCAGGGGAGUAAAGUGCAGGACGUGUCCUGUUUUGUAUGUACCCUGAGAAUAAGGAUCGGCCUAACUCCGUGCCAGCAGCGGC